rnacentral:rRNA from 1 species
UACGUAGGGUGCGAGCGUUGUCCGGAAUUAUUGGGCGUAAAGAGCUCGUAGGCGGUUUGUCGCGUCUGCUGUGAAAACCUAAGGCUCAACCUUGGGCUUGCAGUGGGUACGGGCAGACUAGAGUGCGGUAGGGGUGACUGGAAUUCCUGGUGUAGCGGUGGAAUGCGCAGAUAUCAGGAGGAACACCGGUGGCGAAGGCGGGUCUCUGGGCAGUAACUGACGCUGAGGAGCGAAAGCGUGGGUAGCGAACAGG